GCGCGAGAGCCGGCUCGGUCGGCGGCGGUGGGGCGGUUCGUCCGGUACCGCUGGGGCCUGGGGCGCGAGAGAGGCGACAUGAGCACGUGCUCCGUCUCCAAGGGCUGCUUUGUUUUUAAACCAAGUCCCAAGAAGAGAAGGGUGUCUCAGAAAACAGCUAAUGAUUUCAGAAUAAAAAACAAUGAUUCAGAGGAUUCUGAGUUGCGGUUUGUUACUUGUCAGUCUUUAUGGAAUCAGAUCAAAUCGGAAACAGAGCAAAUACAGGAAGACUUGAAUAAGCAGUUAUUUGAUAAUCUAGUAAGUUUUUUGAGGCAGUCUCAUUCUGAGUUCCAAGAGAAGACAACAGAAUGGACUUGUCGGAUGAAGUCCAGAGAAAUCCCUACUGCAGCUCUUGUCUUAGGUGUAAAUGUUACAGAUCAUGACUUGACUUUUAGAAGUGUCUCAGAAGUCCUUCAGAAUAACAUUACUCCUUAUAUAGCCUUGCUGGAAGCCAAAGAUUGCCCAGGCAUAAAAAAUCUGAUGCAGAAGCUGAUGGGGCAGCUGAUGAACUGCCACAUAGAUGUGGACUCAUUGGAAGACGAGGACUAUGUGCAGGUUUCCCAGAAUAGAAUAAGUUGUUCAAUGACUUCUCUUAUCAACUGGUAUGAGACUGUAACAAAGAAAACAGAUUCUGAAGCUCUGAGCAAAAAAAGAACUUCCUCUUCGAGACACUGGCAAUCUCCUCCAGUUGUAGUUAUAUUCAAAGACAUGGAAAGUUUCACCACAAAAGUACUUCAAGACUUCAUAGUCAUCAGCAGUCAGCAUAUCCGUGAAUUACCUCUAGUACUGAUUUUUGGAAUCGCUACAUCUCCAAUGAUUAUCCACAACUUACUUCCUCACUCUGUUUCCUCUCUGCUGUGCAUAGAGCUUUUCCAGUCCCUUUCCUGUAAGGAGCACCUGUCUACUAUAAUUGACAAGCUGCUUCUGACAACCCAGUUUCCCUUUAAGCUGGGUGAGAAAGUUCUGCAGGUUCUCAUCAACAUAUUCUUGUACCACGAUUUUUCUGUCCAGAAUUUUAUCAAAGGAUUUCAGCUCUGUAUCGUUGAGCACUUCUAUUCCCAGCCUCUUAGUGUACUGUGUUGCCAACUGGUAGAUGCCAAGAAGAGAAUAAAUUAUUUAUCACAUGAUCAGUGUGAAAACAUUCGAAGACUGCCCUCUUUUAGAAGGUAUGUAGAAGGUCAGGUAUCAGAAAAACAGAUUGCACUGCUGACAGAAGAUGGUUGCUUAAAGGAAGUAACACUGAAGUUGCUGGAGGACUUGAAUGUUUACCAUGAAAAUUAUGUUUCAGUUCUGAGAUGUCUUCAUGUUUUCACAUCUUCUCUUCCAAAGUAUCCUUUGGGCAAGCAGAUCAGGGAGCUGCACUGUGCAUGUUUGGAAAACCGAGUGUGGGAGACAGAGGAGUAUGAGUCAUCUAUUCAGCUAGCAAGGAUGUUGAAUAAGUCUGAUUUGGUAACCAUGCUUCAACAAUGUGUGGAAAUUUUUGUGUCAUCUUCUGGAAAGGAGUUUGAUAAGACAGUAGAGAAGUUGAAGGAUUUCUUGACCCAGUUUCAGAAACUAGAAGCAGAAGCUUUCCAAGAACAAGAUGUGUCCGUAUCGUCACAAAAGGAGCUCCAGAAGAAGACAGACCUUUAUCAUCUUCAGAAGACUUUGUUGGAGUUGAAGGAAUCAAGGCGUUCUAAGAAACUGACGAAGUUUGAAAUGCUUCGUUUUGAAGUUGUUGACUAUAUAGACAGUCUUGUAAGACCACAAGACUCUGCAUGAGAUAGUGUAUUUCAACACAGCCAGUGUUCUCCGUGAGCACUUGAAUGCUGCCCCGAGGAUUGCACUUCAUACAGCUUUAAAUAACCCAUACUGCUACCUGAAGAAUCAAGCUUUGAAAAGUGGUGGAGGAAGCAUUUCUAAUAAAGCUCCUGACAUAUGCAUAGUGUAUAAACUUCAUUUGGAGUGUGGCAGAUUGAUUAAUCUCGUUGAUUGGUUAGAGGCUUUCUCAACUGUGGUGAUGGCAGCUGAGGGACCAAAUGCAGAUGCACCUUCCUCAGACCAGGUGGAUGAUAUUAUCCAUGCUCGUUUUAUUCGAGCCGUUUCUGAACUAGAACUCUUAGGCUUCAUAAAGCCUAGCAAGCAGAAAACUGACCACGUGGCAAGGUUGACAUGGGGAGGCUGUUAAUGUGCCACCAAGGUCUUAAUAAACCUGUUCUUUCUAACAUUGUGCAAUGGCUGUGUUCCCACUAAACUAGUCCUUGCUAACUUUGCAUACUGAGUCAAAGUCAACGAUGACUGAAUGUUGUGAGAUACAUUCCGAGUGCCUGGAUAGGCUUGAAUAGCAAUAUUGUUGUUUUAACACUCAGCCUCCCUGUGUAAUGUACUGCUCUAUUAAUGCUCAUGUUCCAAAUAUGGUAUUGUUGUGCCAGUUUUAAUCUUCUUUGAUGUGUGAUAUUUAACACUAUACUGAUACAAUUCAGGCUAGCAAGCCAAAAGGACAACACUGGCUGUGUAAGCUACAGAAGUGAUGAAGCAGUAUUAUUAACUUGCUUAUAAGCUGACAGGAUUUGAGUCAUCAUUAUGAAAUGCCUUCCAGAUCCUUUAACUACAGAUUUAAAAAUAAAUAAAGCCAGUAUGCUAAAAAAGACAAUAAGCUUCCAUGUUCAGCCUCUGCGGCAUGUUUUUCAAACCAAAACUGGUCAUAACUCCCUGAAAACUCC